rnacentral:rRNA from 1 species
GACGAACGCUGGCGGCGUGCCUAAUACAUGCAAGUAGAACGCUGAAGGAAGGAGCUUGCUCUUUCCGGAUGAGUUGCGAACGGGUGAGUAACGCGUAGGUAACCUGCCUGGUAGCGGGGGAUAACUAUUGGAAACGAUAGCUAAUACCGCAUAACAGUAGAUAUCGCAUGAUAGCUGCUUGAAAGGUGCAAAUGCACCACUACCAGAUGGACCUGCGUUGUAUUAGCUAGUUGGUGAGGUAACGGCUCACCAAGGCAACGAUACAUAGCCGACCUGAGAGGGUGAUCGGCCACACUGGGACUGAGACACGGCCCAGACUCCUACGGGAGGCAGCAGUAGGGAAUCUUCGGCAAUGGACGGAAGUCUGACCGAGCAACGCCGCGUGAGUGAAGAAGGUUUUCGGAUCGUAAAGCUCUGUUGUAAGAGAAGAACGAGUGUGAGAGUGGAAAGUUCACACUGUGACGGUAUCUUACCAGAAAGGGACGGCUAACUACGUG